rnacentral:lncRNA from 1 species
ACGUUUCCAGUAACUGAAAUUUUUUUUAGAAAAAUCCAAACAAUCGAUUGUCUAGCCUGACAAUCGAUUGUUGGAUGAUCCAGUAAUUUGAAAAUUUCAGAAAACCAAACAAUCGAUUGUCUGGUUUUGACAAUCGAUUGUCUGAUCCAGUAACUUAGAAAAAAUUUUUCUUGUCUCAUCCAGUGACUUAAAAUUUUUCCAGAAAAAACCUGGUCCAGUAAAGUUUAAAAAAAA